rnacentral:lncRNA from 1 species
GGGGAAACUCGAGAACCGCCACCAACGGGGGCCCAGCCCCACUGCAACCCCGUUCACCCCGCUCCCCUUUCCCAGUCACUGCCCACCUCACCUCGGGAUCUCAGAGACCACUGAACCUGGUCGCAGACACUCCGUCUGUCUCCAGUCAAUGGAGACGCGAAGCGGAACGAACGCUGGGCCUACGCACGCUUAGAGAUACGAGUCUGCGACCAAUCAGAAAGGAUCGUCCGAUUGCCUAACCAAUCAUUGUGCUGCUGCUCUGCCUGACAGCCUACGUCACGAACAGUCGCCUUAACAACCGCCCACACCUCUCACCCUGGCGGAGAACCGGUACCGCACCAUCUCUCACCACAGCUCAGCCAACCAAUAGCCAGCCGAGUACCGGCGCCAGGGCCCGCCUAUUGGCCCGCGAGCCGCGGGGGCGCACGCGUGGAAGCGGUUUAGGCUCGGUGAUAGGGGAGAACGAGUGGAGUGGCCCGCCGCUCGGGACCUGACCUGCGGUCUUCCCGCCUCUGAGGGGACUCUGAGGGGGCGGUGGUAGGAAGCGGGACUGGACCUCGAGAACGAACCCCGGCUUAGGCUGAGGACAGAAAGCUGUUAUCUUAGGGGCGACAGAUGAGGGAAGUAGAGAUGGUCCUGCAAAAUGAGGAACACGAGCAGGGUGGUGUCGGCCGGGUGCCUCGCGACAGAGGCCUCACUCACCCUGCAGUGCAGGCGCCCGGGUCGCCAUCCGUGUCUCCCCGGCGCUUGCCGCUGCGUCCUCUCUGCGGUCCCUCCGCUCUCCGACCGGUGCAGGCUAGUGUCAUCUCACCUUUCCUGCCUGUCCCCCCACGUGCCCUCAGGAGUCGCUCCGGUCUGCUGGGCUCGCUCCAUCCCACAACCCUAGGUUCUCAACUCUUAAUUCGGUUCCCCAUACCUCUCCUUAGGAGCUUCUGCAGCUUCACAGAAACAGUUGGAGAGCAGCUGACUCAGACAGGUUUCUAACUAUAAAAAUCUCCUGAUGGAAAAACCAGAAGGAAGUGAUGAUGGUGGGGAGAACAAGCUGGAUAAGGUCUCAGCAAGCAAAUAUGAGACAAGACACCCUCUUUAGCUCUCCUGAGCAACCCUAAUGGAGAAGUGAAACAGCAAUUGUUCAUGGCAGUACACAUGCAGGCAAGAUUUUAAUACAGCACCACUGUCACUUACAGGUAAAAAUGGUCAAGUGAAAAAGAAGGCUACAAAGUGCAAUGAAUUUGGCUACACCUAACAGCAAACACCAAUUAAAAAUGGCUAAUCCAAGAUAAGCAUUUGUUCCUUUCUUGGGUAAAGGAAGAUGGAGAUAGAUAGUCUAGGAUGAGCAUGGCAGCUCAUGAUGCUUCCAGGGACCUUUCUGUCAUUCUGGCUGGGCAUAGUGGUGUACACCUGUAAUCCCAGCUCUCAGGAGGC